rnacentral:lncRNA from 1 species
CUGGCUUCAUGGAACCAGCUCGGCUGGGGGAUGGGGCAGCCCAGGAGCACGGCUCCGGCCCCUCCGUGCCCCUCCGUUAGGGGUCUUUAACGACCUCAAUCACCAGCUCAUUUGCAGCAGUCACUUUCCCCACUGCUGCCCUCCCCCAGCAUGGGAAUAACAUCUGCUACCCAACACUGCCCCUAUAAACUGCUCCUAUUUCACAUCACAAAAAAUAUACAGGGCAUUAAACUAGGUAUGUUUUAUAGGGGAACUGUCAGGCAGCUUAAAUCCAGGCUCUGACCUACUUAAAAGUUGUCCUAAUCAGGGGAGGCAUGUGUGUGUGCGCCGAGUUCACAUCUCCGCUUCCACGUGUCGCCCCGGUGCUGGGGGAAGGAGACGGGAAUUAUUUACGGGAGGGACGAGCGCCUGUGCAACCGGAGAGGAGGGUGCACGUCCUGCAGCUCGGGAGGAAGGGGUGAAGAAGCAGGGGCUGGAGGAGGCCAGCGUGGGGCAGUGCACCCUUGGGGGCACUGAGGGAAAUAGGUGCAACAGCUGCUGGUGGCCUCGUCCCUCGUCCUUCUGCCUCGUGCCGCUUGGAGCAGCAGCUCCUCACCACGGCAAGGACAUGAAGAGCUUUGGGUCGCGAGCGAGGAAAUGAGGAGACUGCAAAGAAAAAUAAUGAAAGGCCUUUCUUGUGCAGUCCUGCUCUGCACGAACCGGGAUCAGGCCCUCCUCCUUCUCCUUGGCCCUCACGCUAUAAGAAACCCUGCUGCGGAUUUCACAACGGCGUGAUUGACAAGAUUAGAAAUUAUCUCCCCCUCUCUCUACAUAUAAGGUUACUGCCGCUCCAGGCACAGUGUGAAAUUCCCCUUGCCGGAGCUCAUUAAAUGGGUCAAUGGACGUGUUCCAGCUUCUCUGCAGUUCACAAAGGGCUGAGUCCUGGCCACCCCACCAAACUCUGUCCCAGGCUGUUGACGAGUAAGUGCUUCCAUAUGGCUCACCUCAGCAUCUCCAGAAAGAUAACAGAGAGUUAAUGGCUUGCAGAUU